rnacentral:rRNA from 1 species
AUUGAACGCUGGCGGAAUGCUUUACACAUGCAAGUCGAGCGGCAGCGCGGGGGCAACCCUGGCGGCGAGCGGCGAACGGGUGAGUAAUGUAUCGGAACGUACCCAGUCGUGGGGGAUAACUAUCCGAAAGGAUAGCUAAUACCGCAUACGUCCUGAGGGAGAAAGCGGGGGACCGAAAGGCCUCGCGCGAUUGGAGCGGCCGAUAUCGGAUUAGCUAGUUGGUGAGGUAAAGGCUCACCAAGGCGACGAUCCGUAGCUGGUCUGAGAGGACGACCAGCCACACUGGAACUGAGACACGGUCCAGACUCCUACGGGAGGCAGCAGUGGGGAAUUUUGGACAAUGGGGGCAACCCUGAUCCAGCCAUUCCGCGUGAGUGAAGAAGGCCUUCGGGUUGUAAAGCUCUUUCAGCAGGAACGAAACGGUGGUCCUUAAUACGGGCUGCUAAUGACGGUACCUGAAGAAGAAGCACCGGCUAACUACGUGCCAGCAGCCGCGGUAAUACGUAGGGUGCGAGCGUUAAUCGGAAUUACUGGGCGUAAAGCGUGCGCAGGCGGUUCUAUAAGACAGAUGUGAAAUCCCCGGGCUUAACCUGGGAACUGCGUUUGUGACUGUAGGACUCGAGUGUGGCAGAGGGGGGUGGAAUUCCACGUGUAGCAGUGAAAUGCGUAGAGAUGUGGAGGAACACCGAUGGCGAAGGCAGCCCCCUGGGUCAACACUGACGCUCAUGCACGAAAGCGUGGGGAGCAAACAGGAUUAGAUACCCUGGUAGUCCACGCCCUAAACGAUGCGAACUAGGUGUUGGGGAAGGAGACUUUCUUAGUACCGCAGCUAA